rnacentral:rRNA from 1 species
AUCUGCAAAAAUGAAUAACCUUCAGGACAUUGUUUGAGCAAAGCCUCGCUGAGCGGUUUGUUCAGGCAGUAGGUGAUGUAAAUUUGAAAGUGAUCAGUGUGGUCGAGAAACGUUCUGGCGAUAUUUCUGACGUUACUUUCGGCGCCUUUCAGAGCCGGCAGAAAUAUUUCACUGUGGAAAUUGUAAAUUUGGUGCAAAUUCCCGAACAGCACUUUCUGCUUGGACAGCAGAUUGUUGGGAACGUGACGGCGCAGUGUGGUGCCGUUGAAUAGUCGCACUGUUCUCUCUUUCUCUUCGGGGUUGGAGGAACAAUUGUCGAUCAGUCGGUUUCGGAGCGUGCACACUGGUACCCGAAAGAUGGUGAACUAUGCUUGAGCAGAAUGAAGCCAGAGGAAACUCUGGUGGAAGUUCGUAGCGGUGUUGACGUGCAAAUCACUCGUCUGACUUGAGUGUAGGGGCGAAAGACUAAUCGAACCAUCUAGUUGCUGGUUCCUUCCGAAGUUUCCCUCAGGAUAGCUGGCAUUUGUUUGUAACAAUUUUAUCCGGUAGAGCGAAUGAUUAGAGGUGUUGGGAACGCAAUGUUCUCAGCCUAUUCUCAAACUUCGAAUGGGUAAGCAAGGCGUUUUGCUUUGAUUUUACGAUGAAAUCGCCCAAUUAGAAGAAUGUAUAAAUGCCUAGUGGGCCAAUUUUGGUAAGCAGAACUGGCGAUGUGGAAUGAACCAAAAGUCAGGUUAAGGUGCCAGACAUUGGCGCUCAUGAAAUACCAGAAAAGGUGUUGGUCGAUAUAGACAGCAGGACGGUGGCCAUGGAAGUUGGAAUCCGCCAAGGAGUGUGUAACAACUCACCUGCCGAAUCGACUAGCCCUGAAAAUGGAUAGCGUUUGAGCUCCAGGCCCAUACCUGACCGUCUCAAUUACGCACCCUUUUUUCGGAAAAGGUGUAAUGCACGUUGAGACGGGUAGGAAGGUCGCGACAGUGUUGCUUUGAAGAGUUUUGAGCGUGAGCUCGCUCGGAGCCGCUGUCGGUGCAGAUCUUGGUGGUAGUAGCAAAUAUUCAAGUGAGAACCUUGAAGGCUGAAGUGGAGCAAGGUUCCAUGUGAACAGCAGUUGGACAUGGGUCAGUCGAUCCUAAGAAAACGGCGAAAGCUUUUUCGAAUUUGCGACAUGAAUUGUAAGACUGUGAAUAAUUGUGUGCGUGUGUUUGCCAAUUAUUAAUUGUUGUGCGCAGUUGUCGUAUGUUUUCGAAAGGGAAUCCGGUUGAUAUUCCGGAACCGAGUAACGGAGACAAAGAGUAGCGCUUUAAUCUCUCUCUCUCUGUGGGGUUGGCGUUCAACUCAAUCGCGCGGUAACGCAAGCGAACUCGGAAAAUGACCGUCGUGAGUUUCGAAAAGAGUUUUCUUUUCUUUUUAAGGGACGCAUUCCCUGGAACCGGGUUGUCCGGAGAUAGGGAUUUUGGUAUCCAUAAAACGCCGACUUUUUCACGGUGUUCGGAGCGCUCUCGUCGGUACGUGAAAAUCCGAGCGACGCCUGGUAAAUCUCGUACUUGGUCGUACUGAUAUCCGCAGCAGGUCUCCAAGGUGAAUAGCCUCUGGCCGAUAGAAUAAUGUAGGUAAGGGAAGUCGGCAAAACGGAUCCGUAACUUCGGAACAAGGAUUGGCUCUAAGGGCUGGGCCGAUCGGGCUGAGGUUUCAAGCGUGCAGUGUAUGCUUGGCUUAGUUGUGUUGAGGACUUGUUCACUUGCCACCGUUUGUUCGGUUGGUCGAGUGUAUUCGAGUCUGAAGCAGAGCUGGCCGUCAGACCGGCACGUGUAGAACCUGAGCUGCGCGGCUGUCCGUUUUCGUGUACAGACCGUUUCGGUCGGCAUUCAACAGCCAACUUAGAACUGGCACGGACACACAAAGCAUUGCGAUGGCCGAUGAUCGGUGAUGACGCAAUGUGAUUUCUGCCCAGUGCUCUGAAUGUCAAAGUGAAGAAAUUCAAUCAAGCGCGGGUAAACGGCGGGAGUAACUAUGACUCUCUUAAGGUAGCCAAAUGCCUCGUCAUCUAAUUAGUGACGCGUAUGAAUGGAUCAACAAGAUUCCUUCUGUCCCUAUCUACUAUCUAGCGAAACCACAGCCAAGGGAACGGGCUUGGCAAAAUCAGCGGGGAAAGAAGACCCUGUUGAGCUUGACUCUAGUCUGACUCUGUGAAGAGACAUGAAAGGUGUAGCAUAGGUGGGAGAUUGUCAAUUUGCCAUCGUUCGCGCGAUGGUCCCGGUGAUCGCCAAUGAAAUACCACUACUUUGAUCGUUUCUUUACUUAUUCGGUAAAGCGAAAAAAUUGUGGCCAAUUUGGCGGUGUUUAUGUCGCUGUUGGUCAUUGUUUUCAUGUUGGAUUGAAGCUUUGUUUUGAGCCGUCGCUUUGUGUCUUCAUUUGACGCAUUGUUGUGCUGGGUUAGUAGCCCAGUGUGUGAUGUUGUCAGAAUGUAUGAUCGCCGAAGAAUAUCAGCACACCCUUGCACUAAGUGCAACAAAGUUUGGUGUCGUUAUAAAAACUUUCAUAAAAGAGUAUGAAAGAAUACAUGAUUUGGUGAAUGUUAGAAUGAAUUGUGGCCAGAUUAUAUCUGGAAGUGAAUAUGCUGAACUUGUUUUGAAGAUGUCGGACGCAAUUUCGAAAAUAUUUAAACCUGGAAUGCAGCUAGUGGAAAUGGGAAAUGAACUGCUCGAUACAAUUAACAAAAUGGAACAGCUUAAUAUUUUCAGUCUUG